rnacentral:rRNA from 1 species
AGUCUCAGUUCGGAUUGCAGGCUGCAACUCGCCUGCAUGAAGUCGGAAUCGCUAGUAAUCGCGGAUCAGCAUGCCGCGGUGAAUACGUUCCCGGGCCUUGUACACACCGCCCGUCACACCAUGAGAGUCGGGAACACCCGAAGUCCGUAGCCUAACCGCAAGGGGGGCGCGGCCGAAGGUGGGUUCGAUAAUUGGGGUGAAGUCGUAACAAGGUAGC